UGGUUUGUUAGAGCUGUGAAAGAGCAUU
rnacentral:piRNA from 1 species